GAACGAAGGCUUCGGCCUUAGUGGCGCACGGGUGCGUAACGCGUGGGAAUCUGCCCUUUGGUUCGGAAUAACAGCUGGAAACGGCUGCUAAUACCGGAUGAUGACGAAAGUCCAAAGAUUUAUCGCCAGAGGAUGAGCCCGCGUUGGAUUAGGUAGUUGGUGGGGUAAAGGCCUACCAAGCCGACGAUCCAUAGCUGGUCUGAGAGGAUGAUCAGCCACACUGGGACUGAGACACGGCCCAGACUCCUACGGGAGGCAGCAGUGGGGAAUAUUGGACAAUGGGCGAAAGCCUGAUCCAGCAAUGCCGCGUGAGUGAUGAAGGCCCUAGGGUUGUAAAGCUCUUUUACCCGGGAAGAUAAUGACUGUACCGGGAGAAUAAGCCCCGGCUAACUCCGUGCCAGCAGCCGCGGUAAUACGGAGGGGGCUAGCGUUGUUCGGAAUUACUGGGCGUAAAGCGCACGUAGGCGGCUUUGUAAGUCAGAGGUGAAAGCCUGGAGCUCAACUCCAGAACUGCCUUUGAGACUGCAUCGCUUGAAUCCAGGAGAGGUCAGUGGAAUUCCGAGUGUAGAGGUGA
rnacentral:rRNA from 1 species